UUAACNNNNNAUUNAAUANCCCCCCCCUNUNUAUGGGGUGUUUUUUUUNNGGGGGGCGGGCCCGAUACUCAUACCCUCCGCCUGGGGACUACNAGCAUUANCUUAAAACCCAAAGGACUUGGCGGUGCUUUACCCCCCACUAGAGGAGCCUGUUCUAGAACUGAUAACCCCCGUUGAACCUCACCAUCCCUCGGGUAACCCGCCUAUAUACCGCCGUCGGCAGCUUACCCUGUGAAGGCCAAAUAGUAAGCAAAAAUGGCUAACCCAAAAACGUCAGGUCGAGGUGUAGUGAAUGGGAUGGGAAGAAAUGGGCUACAUUUUYUAAURCANAGAAUACGGAUGGCAGCCUGAAAACCCUGCCUGAAGGUGGAUUUAGCAGUAAGGGAGGAAUAGAGUGCCCCCCAAAACGGCCNGGCCCUAAAAANUNNU
rnacentral:rRNA from 1 species